GGACGGGUGAGGAAUACAUCGGAAUCUACCUUUUCGUGGGGGAUAACGUAGGGAAACUUACGCUAAUACCGCAUACGACCUACGGGUGAAAGUGGGGGACCGCAAGGCCUCACGCGAUUAGAUGAGCCGAUGUCCGAUUAGCUAGUUGGCGGGGUAAUGGCCCACCAAGGCGACGAUCGGUAGCUGGUCUGAGAGGAUGAUCAGCCACACUGGAACUGAGACACGGUCCAGACUCCUACGGGAGGCAGCAGUGGGGAAUAUUGGACAAUGGGCGCAAGCCUGAUCCAGCCAUACCGCGUGGGUGAAGAAGGCCUUCGGGUUGUAAAGCCCUUUUGUUGGGAAAGAAAUCCUGUCGAUUAAUACUCGGUGGGGAUGACGGUACCCAAAGAAUAAGCACCGGCUAACUUCGUGCCAGCAGCCGCGGUAAUACGAAGGGUGCAAGCGUUACUCGGAAUUACUGGGCGUAAAGCGUGCGUAGGUGGUGGUUUAAGUCUGCUGUGAAAGCCCUGGGCUCAACCUGGGAAUUGCAGUGGAUACUGGAUCACUAGAGUGUGGUAGAGGGAUGCGGAAUUUCUGGUGUAGCAGUGAAAUGCGUAGAGAUCAGAAGGAACAUCCGUGGCGAAGGCGGCAUCCUGGGCCAACACUGACACUGAGGCACGAAAGCGUGGGGAGCAAACAGGAUUAGAUACCCAGGUAGUCCGCGCCCUAAACGAUGCGAACUGGAUGUUGGGUGCAACUUGGCACCCAGUAUCGAAGCUAACGCGUUAAGUUCGCCGCCUGGGGAGUACGGUCGCAAGACUGAAACUCAAAGGAAUUGACGGGGGCC
rnacentral:rRNA from 1 species